UACGUAGGGGGCUAGCGUUGUCCGGAAUCAUUGGGCGUAAAGCGCGUGUAGGCGGCCCGGUAAGUCCGCUGUGAAAGUCCAGGGCUCAACCCUGGGAUGCCGGUGGAUACUGUCGGGCUCGAGUCCGGAAGAGGCGAGUGGAAUUCCUGGUGUAGCGGUGAAAUGCGCAGAUAUCAGGAGGAACACCAAUGGCGAAGGCAGCACUCUGGGACGUGACUGACGCUGAGACGCGAAAGCGUGGGGAGCAAACAGG
rnacentral:rRNA from 1 species